UACGUAGGGGGCAAGCGUUGUCCGGAAUCAUUGGGCGUAAAGCGCGCGUAGGCGGCCCGGUAAGUCCGCUCUGAAAGUCCAGGGCUCAACCCUGGAAAGCGGGUGGAUACUGCCGGGCUAGAAUCCGGAAGAGGCGAGUGGAAUUCCUGGUGUAGCGGUGGAAUGCGUAGAGAUCCGGAGGAAGACCGGUGGCGAAGGCGGUCUGCUGGGCAGUUUCUGACACUGAGGCGCGACAGCGUGGGGAGCAAACAGG
rnacentral:rRNA from 1 species